GACGAACGCUGGCGGCGUGCUUAACACAUGCAAGUCGAACGGAAAGGCCCUGCUUUUGUGGGGUGCUCGAGUGGCGAACGGGUGAGUAACACGUGAGUAACCUGCCCUUGACUUUGGGAUAACUUCAGGAAACUGGGGCUAAUACCGGAUAGGAGCUCCUGCUGCAUGGUGGGGGUUGGAAAGUUUCGGCGGUUGGGGAUGGACUCGCGGCUUAUCAGCUUGUUGGUGGGGUAGUGGCUUACCAAGGCUUUGACGGGUAGCCGGCCUGAGAGGGUGACCGGCCACAUUGGGACUGAGAUACGGCCCCGACUCCUACGCGAGGCAGCAGUGGCGAAUAUUGCGCAAUGGGCGGAAGCCUGAUGCAGCAACGCCGCGUGCGGGAUGACGGCCUUCGGGUUGUAAACCGCUUUCGCCUGUGACGAAGCGUGAGUGACGGUAAUGGGUAAAGAAGCACCGGCUACCUACGUG
rnacentral:rRNA from 1 species